AUUGAACGCUGGCGGCAGGCUUAACACAUGCAAGUCGAGCGGGGAAGGGUAGCUUGCUACCUAACCUAGCGGCGGACGGGUGAGUAAUGCUUAGGAAUCUGCCAUUUAGUGGGGGACAACAUUCCGAAAGGAAUGCCAAUACCGCAUACGUCCUACGGGAGAAAGCAGGGGAUCUUCGGACCUUGCGCUAAAUGAUGAGCCUAAGUCGGAUUAGCUAGUUGGUGGGGUAAAGGCCUACCAAGGCGACGAUCUGUAGCGGGUCUGAGAGGAUGAUCCGCCACACUGGGACUGAGACACGGCCCAGACUCCUACGGGAGGUAGCAGUGGGGAAUAUUGGACAAUGGGCGGAAGCCUGAUCCAGCCAUGCCGCGUGUGUGAAGAAGGCCUUAUGGUUGUAAAGCACUUUAAGCGAGGAGGAGGCUACUUAGAUUAAUACUCUAGGAUAGUGGACGUUACUCGCAGAAUAAGCACCGGCUAACUCUGUGCCAGCCGCCGCGGUAA
rnacentral:rRNA from 1 species